rnacentral:misc_RNA from 1 species
AGUUUUUGCAGUUUCUUCUGAGAUCAUGAUCUUGCUAAGGGCACAUAGUAGUUUAUUAAAUAAUAUUAUGUUCAUUUAUUCUCUAUAAACCUAACCUGGUAGCAAGUUGCUGGCUUUAAUGUUACUUAACCCUUAGCUGAGAUGUCUUAAAAAGAGUCUACUAUACAACAUUAUUGCUGUUGUGCGCAGUCAAGUCUGGUCACAGGGUACGAGAAAGCUGACAGAAUAGGGUGUACCGUAAUACUGUAGCCAGGAAUGAUUUGCUUUAUAAUCCAUAGUCAUUGCCAUUUACUCUUUUACGAAUCAUACAACCUGCUGUACACUUUAGCAAAAAUAUCAACUCUGUAUAUAGCAUGCAAUAUUUGGCUUGAAGGAAAAUAAAUUAGUUUGAACCAGAUAUUCAAAGCACAAGUUCAAAUUCAACUUAGUAUAUUUCCUCAAAUUAAUUUUGAUGGAAAGUUUAAUUUUGAUGGAAGCAGCUCUAUUUUUAGUUUUGAGAGAUUUAUACUCCCCUAAAUUUUUGUUCAUAGAAAAAAAUGAUGGUAGUCGGUUUCACGUGGUUGGAGACCUUGAUUCCUUCUUUAUCUUUUUUCUAUGCA